UGGGGGAUAUUGCACAAUGGGCGCAAGCCUGAUGCAGCGACGCCGCGUGGGGGAUGAAGGCCUUCGGGUUGUAAACUUCUUUUGCUCUGAACAAGGCGCACUUUGGGGUGUGUUGAGUGUAGGGGUUGAUUAGCGCCGGCUAACUACGUGCCAGCAGCCGCGGUAAUACGUAGGGCGCGAGCGUUGUCCGGAAUUAUUGGGCGUAAAGGGCUUGUAGGUGGCUGGUUGCGUCUGUCGUGAAAGCUAAUGGCUUAACUGUGGGUUUGCGGUGGGUACGGGCUGGCUUGAGUGCAGUAGGGGAAGCUGGAAGUCCUGGUGUAGCGGUGGAAUGCGCAGAUAUAAGGAGGAAUACCGGUGGCGAAGGCGGGUCUCUGGGCUGUUACUGACACUGAGGAGCGAAAGCAUGGGGAGCGAACAGG
rnacentral:rRNA from 1 species